ACCGGCAAACGGGUGCGGAACACGUACAGAACCUUCCUUCGAGCGGGGAAUAGCCCAGAGAAAUUUGGAUUAAUACCCCAUAGUAUAGCGAAGAGGCAUCUCUUUGUUAUUAAAGAUUUAUCACUUGGAGAUGGCUGUGCGGCUGAUUAGGUAGUUGGCGGGGUAACGGCCCACCAAGCCUGCGAUCAGUAACUGGUGUGAGAGCACGACCAGUCACACGGGCACUGAGACACGGGCCCGACUCCUACGGGAGGCAGCAGUAAGGAAUAUUGGUCAAUGGACGAAAGUCUGAACCAGCCAUGCCGCGUGGAGGAUGAAGGUCCUCUGGACUGUAAACUUCUUUUAUAUGGGACGAAAAAAGGCCUUUCUAGGUCGUCUGACGGUACCAUAUGAAUAAGCACUGGCUAACUCCGUGCCAGCAGCCGCGGUAAUACGGAGGGUGCAAGCGUUAUCCGGAUUCACUGGGUUUAAAGGGUGCGUAGGUGGGGUGGUAAGUCAGUGGUGAAAUCCCCGAGCUUAACUUGGGAACUGCCAUUGAUACUAUCAUUCUUGAAUACCGUGGAGGUCAGCGGAAUAUGUCAUGUAGCGGUGAAAUGCUUAGAUAUGACAUAGAACACCAAUUGCGAAGGCAGCUGGCUACCCGAAUAUUGACACUGAGGCACGAAAGCGUGGGGAUCAAACAGGAUUAGAUACCCUGGUA
rnacentral:rRNA from 1 species